rnacentral:lncRNA from 1 species
CUGAGAAUUCAUGGAUCGAUUUGUUCGCCAUGGCUUUGAACUCUGAAGACAGGUUCCGGUGAUCUUCUUGAUUGGAUGAAGCUUCUUGCUGAAGUGUUGAUGAUCUCUUCUUGAGCUUGGCUCUCGUCUUCUUGAAUAAUGCUUCGGGAUUGUCAACAAAAUUUCCUGGAAGAUGUCUUCUAUUCAUACAUUCCCCUGCAUA